rnacentral:lncRNA from 1 species
GUGCCAGAGGUCAUAAAGAGCUGCUGAGCUAGUUGAGCUUUCUAGUGCUCAGAAGCAAAUCGAUCAGAUGAGCUGCAACUGUGGCUCUGCCACAGACCAUGAGCUAAUGCAGGCUGUACCCAGUGAGCCAGUGCCGCGGGCACUGGAGCCGGCAGUGGGAGAGGGUGAGCCGACAUAGCUAAUGCCUAACGCCAGGAGGGAGAGACAAAGGGGCCUCUUCUUUAACACUGUGAAUAGCCCCAGAGUGAAUACAGCCUUCGACAGCUGUGGUUUCAUUCUCAUCACCGCUGGGCGAGUUGGGGGUGCUAAUUGUGAAGCUGGAGAGCUGUUAAAAUCAGACCAGAUUUGUUAAAGGAGAGGAGUAAGAUGAUACUUCAGACCAGUAUCUGCAGUGGCACAGGCACAAAAGCCCUAUCUCAGGAGAAGGAAUGAAAGGAAGGCAAAAAGGCCGUGAGAAAAUGAAAGAAGCUGGUUGAUUGACCCCUCCUCUGUGUCGCCUCAGCAACUUGUCCAUAUCAUUGUUACAGCACUUACCACACAGUUGUAAGACGCCCACAACAGCCUAUGAAGAAUAACUAGAGGUCUUCAUAUCAGAGGCAGAAGGUACUGCAAGCUUACUUUCCAACGUGGCUGCAUCGUUUCACAUUCCCACCAGCAGUAUGAGGUUUCCAAUUUCUCUGCAUCCUCAUCAAAACUUGUU